UUAUUUAUAUUUUCUGGUUUUUCAUUUAAUCCCUUUAUUUUGUUUAAUUCAUAUUAAUUCCAUUUUUAAUCCAAAAAAUAUAGGACUUUCAUCAAAAAUAUUCAAAUAUUUUUCUGUUACAUAUUUUGAAUUAAAAUUAUUUUUGGACUAUUUUUGGUAUUUUUCAUGAAUUAAAUGUUUUUGUGCAUAUUUUUAAUUGUUUAAAAAUACUUUUGACCAUUUAAAAAUAGUGAUUUUUUU
rnacentral:lncRNA from 1 species